rnacentral:rRNA from 1 species
CCUACGGGUGGCAGCAGUGAGGAAUAUUGGUCAAUGGGCGGGAGCCUGAACCAGCCAAGUCGCGUGAGGGAAGACGGUCCUAUGGAUUGUAAACCUCUUUAGGCGGGGCGCAAUGCCGGGCACGCGUGCCCGUAGGGCGAGUACCCGCAGAAUAAGCCUCGGCUAACUCCGUGCCAGCAGCCGCGGUAAUACGGAGGAUGCGAGCGUUAUCCGGAUUUUUUGGGUUUAAAGGGUGCGUAGGCCGCAUGUCCAGCGUGCUGUGAAAUGUCCGGGCUCAACCCGGGCCUUGCAGCGCGAACUGGCGUGCUUGAGUCCGCGGAAAGCAGGCGGAAUUCGUCGUGUAGCGGUGAAAUGCUUAGAUAUGACGAAGAACCCCGAGUGCGAAGGCAGCUUGCUGCAGCGGAACUGACGCUGUUGCUCGAAAUCGCGGGUAUCGAACAGGAUUAGAUACCCGUGUAGUC